GGGUGCGGUCUAGCAACCAGGAUGUUGGACCGCAGGUUGGGGAAUGGUCGGGCCGCCAUUC
rnacentral:ncRNA from 1 species